rnacentral:tRNA from 1 species
GAAAGGAGUAUAAGAACUGCUAACUCUGAUCACUGGUAUUAAUCUAUCAGGCCUUUCC